rnacentral:rRNA from 1 species
UGAUUUAAAGUCUAACCUGCCCAUUGAUUUAUUAAAAGGCCGCGGUAUUUUGACCGUGCGAAGGUAGCAUAAUAAUUAGUUUUUUAAUUGAAAGCUAGAAUGAAUGGUUGAACGAGAAAAAUACUGUCUCUAUUUAAAUUCAUUAGAAUUUUAUAUUUAAGUAAAAAAGCUUAAAUUAUUUUUAAAGACGAGAAGACCCUAUAGAGUUUAAUAGUUUAUUAAUUAUUAAAUUUUUAUUAUUUUAAGUUUUAUCAUUAAUUAAUUAUUUUAUUGGGGUGAUGGAAAAAUUUAUAAAACUUUUUUUGUUUAUAGACAUUAAUUUAUGAAUAAUUGAUCCAUUAAUUAUGAUUAUAAGAUUAAAUUACCUUAGGGAUAACAGCGUAAUUUCUUUAAAGAGUUCUAAUCGAAAAAGAAGUUUGCGACCUCGAUGUUGGAUUAAAAUUAAUUUUUGGUGUAGAAGCUAAAAUAUUAGGUCUGUUCGACCUUUAAAAUUUUACAUGAUCUGAGUUUAAACCGGUGUGAGCCAGGUUGGUUUCUAUCUUAAAAAAAGAAUAAUAUUUUAGUACGAAAGGAUCAAAUAUUUAUAAAAUUUAUUUUUAUUGAAUAAAUUUAAUUGUUAUUUUGGCAGAUUAGUGCAUUAAAUUUAGAAUUUAAUUAUGUAUAUUUAUACAAGUAAUAUUUGUGGUUUAAGGAUUUUUUUUUGGUGUUUGUUAGAAGAUUAAUUAUAAUUAUUUUUGUAUUAGUAGGUGUGGCUUUUUUAACUUUGAUGGAACGUAAAGUUUU